AGUUUGAUCCUGGCUCAGGAUGAACGCUGGCGGUAUGCUUAACACAUGCAAGUCGCACGGACACCUUCGGGUGUUAGUGGCGGACGGGUGAGUAACACGUAGGAAUCUACCCUCAGGCGGGGGAUAACAGCUGGAAACGGCUGCUAAUACCCCAUACAGGCGGAAGCUGAAAGGAGCAAUCCACCUGAGGAUGAGCCUGCGUCGGAUUAGCUAGUUGGUGGGGUAAUGGCCUACCAAGGCGACGAUCCGUAGCGGGUCUGAGAGGAUGGCCCGCCACACUGGGACUGAGACACGGCCCAGACUCCUACGGGAGGCAGCAGUGGGGAAUUUUCCCGCAAUGGGGCGCAAGCUGCACGGAGCAAUACCGCGUGAGGGGGGGAAGGCCCUUGGGGUUGUAAACCUCUUUUCUGGGGGGACGAAAGCUUGACGGUACCCCAGGAAUAAGGCUUCGGUAACUGCGUGCCAGCAGCCGCGGUAAGAAGGGGGAGGCAAGCGUUAUCCGGAAUUAUUUGGGCGUAAAGGGUACGUAGGCGG
rnacentral:rRNA from 1 species